CUGGAGGAGAACUUAUCUGCCACCAGCGACGCCAGAGGCAAUCUCACGGCUGCUCGAGAGCACUCUGAAUCCCUCCGGCUCGAGCUACAUACAGCCUUGGAGGCUCUCAAGAGGGCUGAUGUGAGGGCCUCUGAGGCGCAGGAACAUGCUAAAUCCCUGGAGGCGGAGUUGUCUCACACCCGAGGGGUCCUAAAGGAAUCUGACGAGAGG
rnacentral:lncRNA from 1 species